AUUGAACGCUGGCGGCAGGCCUAACACAUGCAAGUCGAGCGAGCGGCGGACGGGUGAGUAAGGUAUGGGGACCUGCCCGAUAGAGGGGGAUAACUAGUGGAAACGGUGGCUAAUACCGCAUACUAUCGGAUGAACCCAUAUGGGAUUAGCUAGUAGGUGGGGUAAAGGCUCACAAAGGCGACGAUCUCUAGCUGGCCUGAGAGGAUGAUCAGCCACACUGGGACUGAGACACGGCCCAGACUCCUACGGGAGGCAGCAGUGGGGAAUAUUGGACAAUGGGCGCAAGCCUGAUGCAGCCAUGCCGCGUGUAUGAAGAAGGCCUUCGGGUUGUAAAGUACUUUCAGCGGAGAGGCGUUACCCGAAGAAGAAGCACCGGCUAACUCCGUGCCAGCAGCCGCGGUAAUAC
rnacentral:rRNA from 1 species